CGUGCUUCAACCAUCCUGGAGGCCCUAGCCUAGCUUCUGUCGUCAGGAGCUAAUCACUGGCUGCAAGAUGACACACUAGUCGGGACGCCUGCGCCUGCGCAUCGUGCAACCGUUGCUGGGAGCAUCUGUCCGAGUUGUGGGUGGCGCGGAACGUGCUUCAACCAUCCUGGAGGCCCUAGCCUAGCUUCUGUCGUCGGGAGCUAAUCACUGGCUGCAAGAUGGCACACUAGUCAGGACGCCUGCGCAUCUGCAUCGUCCAGGAGGAUAAAGUCUCGUCCGCGCGGCAGCUUCUUCGCAGUCGGCGGCAAGCCCUCGGCACGCGCAUACGCUUGUCUUUGGUGCAACCGUUGCUGGGAGCAUCUGUCCGAGUUGUGGGCGGCGCGGAACGUGCUUCAACCAUCCUGGAGGCCCUAGCCUAGCUUCUGUCGUCGGGAGCUAAUCACUGGCUGCAAGAUGGCACACUAGUCGGGACGCCUGCGCCUGCGCAUCGUGCAACCGUUGCUGGGAGCAUCUGUCCGAGUUGUGGGCGGCGCGGAACGUGCUUCAACCAUCCUGGAGGCCCUAGCCUAGCUUCUGUCGUCGGGAGCUAAUCACUGGCUGCAAGAUGACACACUAGUCGGGACGCCUGCGCAUCUGCAUCGUCCAGGAGGAUAAAGUCUCGUCCGCGCGGCAGCUUCUUCGCAGUCGGCGGCAAGCGCUCGGCACGCGCAUACGCUUGUCUUUGGUGCAACCGUUGCUGGGAGCAUCUGUCCGAGUUGUGGGUGGCGCGGAACGUGCUUCAACCAUCCUGGAGGCCCUAGCCUAGCUUCUGUCGUCGGGAGCUAAUCACUGGCUGCAAGAUGACACACUAGUCGGGACGCCUGCGCCUGCGCAUCGUGCAACCGUUGCUGGGAGCAUCUGUCCGAGUUGUGGGCGGCGCGGAACGUGCUUCAACCAUCCUGGAGGCCCUAGCCUAGCUUCUGUCGUCGGGAGCUAAUCACUGGCUGCAAGAUGACACACUAGUCGGGACGCCUGCGCAUCUGCAUCGUCCAGGAGGAUAAAGUCUCGUCCGCGCGGCAGCUUCUUCGCAGUCGGCGGCAAGCCCUCGGCACGCGCAUACGCUUGUCUUUGGUGCAACCGUUGCUGGGAGCAUCUGUCCGAGUUGUGGGUGGCGCGGAACGUGCUUCAACCAUCCUGGAGGCCCUAGCCUAGCUUCUGUCGUCGGGAGCUAAUCACUGGCUGCAAGAUGGCGCACUAGUCGGGACGCCUGCGCAUAUGCAUCGUCCAGGAGGAUAAAGUCUCGUCCGCGCGGCAGCUUCUUCGCGGUCGGCGGCAAGUGCUCGGCACACGCUUACGCCUGUCUUUGGUGCAGUAUGAAGACUUCAUGGAGAAUUUCACGAAGGACGUGGAGCACGGCGAGUUUCCGAAUACAUCUACCACAUGUUGGUGGUCCAUCGCCAGUGAACAAGAAACUGUGGUUGCCCUAAAUGUGUCGUAUUCUGAGACGACAGAAUGGGAUAUCAGUUCGUCGUGCUUUCGCUGGGGAGGGCCAGGAACCCAAUUGUGGCUUGACAACGAGGAGGUUAUUAUUUGUUUCAGCGUCCCUUAAGCGUUUUCAGUGACUUAGUUUAUUUCGGAGAAAAGGCUGGAGAUCUGAGGCAGGGGCGCUAGCGUAUGAUUGCGACGAAAUUGAUGUAGCGAUUUCAUCAGCGAACAUACUACCCUUUAUGCGCUUACGCCCGUAUACCCAGCAUAUGACAUG